GACGAACGCUGGCGGCGUGCCUAAUACAUGCAAGUCGGACGCAGUUGCGAACGGGUGAGUAACGCGUAGGUAACUACCUAUUAGAGGGGGAUAACUAUUGGAAACGAUAGCUAAUACCGCAUACUAGUAGAUGGACCUGCGUUGGAUUAGCUAGUAGGUAGGGUAAUCGCCUACCUAGGCAACGAAUCAUAGCCGACUCUGAAGGGAGAACGGCCACCCUGGGAAUGGGACACGGCCCAGACCUCUACGGGAGGCAGCAGUAGGGAAACUUCGGCAAUGGGGGGAAACCCGACCCCGCCACGGCGCGUGAUGGAAGAAGGUUCUCGGGUCGGAAAGGUCCGUUGUGUAGGAAGCGGUACUUAACCAGAAAGGAACGGCUAACUACGUGCCAGCAGCCGCGGUAAUUC
rnacentral:rRNA from 1 species